CAUCUAUCAAUGAUCAUACAAAUUAUUCGUCCGUCACUGUGCAGCGAAAUGCGUAACCCCCCCACCCCAAAUCUAAUGUAUUGCGAUGUUGCCAUAUUGACAGAAGGGGUGUUGAAGGAAGUGAAGUAUUGAGCUCUACAAAAUUGAUUAUUACAUUUCUAUGGAUACGUAUGAGUUAAUUUGCAAAUACAUCACUUUCACAAGACAUUGAAAAGAAUAGUGACAGAUAUUGACACUUCACAAAAUUGCUUCGAACCAUUUCAGCUACGAUUCCUCUCCAAGAACUUUUACGGCAGUAGGAUGAAUAUUAUUGAGGAUCACAAUUUAAAAAUGGCUUCGAGUUGAGCCGCUUAAGUGGUGCGACUGUGAAGAUGUAGUCGUUUACUCUCUGACUGUGUCAACGAAUUCGAAUUCGUUGUCAAUGGACUUCAGCGCUUUUGUGCGAAUGUCACAUGGUAGCACUUCACUCGAUAACAAUAAAAAUUUGGCUG